rnacentral:lncRNA from 1 species
AGAAAUGGAACAUGCUAGAGAAGAAAGAAUGGCUCAACGAGAUCGUGAAAUUAUGAACACGCCUUUAGAAGGGAAGUCUCCAAAUUCUAAAUAUUUUUGGAAGUCAAAGAAAGUGGAUGUGGUGCGAAUGAGGCGUGCAAGAGAAGCGAGAGCAAGAGAAGAUGGUCCUAGCACGACAAGAGAAGAUCAUCCUAGCACCAUAAAUUGGUUAAGUGAUGAUGAAUACAGUAGUUUUUGUAAUCGGAGCCCAUAAUUUUCCAAUCACUUUGGGUUGUAAUUUAUUAUUUAUUGAAUAGAGUACUUUAUGUUGUUUCCAAUUUAUUGAAUUCAGUACUUUAUUUAAAGUGAGAUUAAAUUUAUUUAAUUUGGUAAGUUAUUUUUACUAAGAGAAUAUUUAUUCAAAUGACAACAACACACCAAAUAAAAUUACAUAAACAUACCAAAUAAUAAAAAAAAUGAACUAAAAAUGAACUAAAAAAACACACCAACUAAAAUUAAAUAAACACAACAAAUAAAACCAAACACACUAAAUGAACUUAAUUAUCUUCAGCUUGUUUCAAUGCCUACUGGUGCUCUAUCAAGUCAUAUAGCCGGGCAUUGUGCAUAUAUUGUGGAGCCAAAAAUAAUCACAAGGCGACACGUGGAUUUUUGGACAAAAGAGGACAAAAAUACCCUUGAGGUACAA